UCUUAUGGAUGAGAAAAGAUAGUGGUUUUUGAGAUGGAAUCUACUCCUUUUAAAGAUGCUGUGAA
rnacentral:pre_miRNA from 3 species